ACUCCUACGGGAGGCAGCAGUAGGGAAUCUUCCACAAUGGACGAAAGUCUGAUGGAGCAACGCCGCGUGAACGAUGAAGGCUUUCGGGUCGUAAAGUUCUGUUGUAAGGGAAGAACAAGUGCCGCAGGCAAUGGCGGCACCUUGACGGUACCUUGCGAGAAAGCCACGGCUAACUACGUGCCAGCAGCCGCGGUAAUACGUAGGUGGCAAGCGUUGUCCGGAAUUAUUGGGCGUAAAGCGCGCGCAGGCGGCCUCUUAAGUCUGAUGUGAAAGCCCCGGCUCAACCGGGGGAGGGCCAUUGGAAACUGGGAGGCUUGAGUAUAGGAGAGAAGAGUGGAAUUCCACGUGUAGCGGUGAAAUGCGUAGAGAUGUGGAGGAACACCAGUGGCGAAGGCGACUCUUUGGCCUAUAACUGACGCUGAGGCGCGAAAGCGUGGGGAGCAAACAGGAUUAGAUACCCUGGUAGGAUAG
rnacentral:rRNA from 1 species